GUUCCCGCGCGCCUGAGAACUCCAAGGCCCCGCCCCUGGUGGAGGGUGGGGAGAGCGGACCGAAAGCUUUCGAUGUGCGUAUGCGCCAGCCCCGUGUGUGGGCGGCUUUAAAAUGGUUGGUGAAGGGACACAGGUUCGAGCCCUGGUCUGGGAACAUCCCACAUGCCGCGGAGCAGCUAAGCCCGUGCACCACAACUGCUGAAGCCCGCGUGCCUAGACACCGAGCUCCGCAACAAGAGAAGCCACCGCAAUGAGAAGCCCGUGCACCACAACGAAGAGUAGCCCCUGCUCGCCGCAACUAGAGAAAGCCCGCGCGCAGCAACGAAGACCCAACUCAGCCAAAAAUCAAUCAAUAAAAUAAAACAGAAUACCUCA